ACCCAGAUAGACACAAAUCCUGGCCAGCCACCCGUCGAUCCAGCACACGGAAGGAGCUGUAAAAGGAUUGGGUGAUGCUACCCAGAUAGACACCAACCUUAGCCAGCCACCCGUGAUCCAGCACACGGGAGGCGAUGGAGGAGGACGUGUUCCUCGUGCCCGGAGAGCCCUAAACCUUCUCCGGCCAGCCGUGUCCCUGCGCAAGGGAGGAGCUGCAGGAGGACGGGGCGCUCCCGCAGCCGCUGCCCAGCCUCCUGUGUGCACCAAGAGCACAUCGGGUGGCAGCCGUGAUGGAGGAGGACUCGCUGGUGCCUCCGGUUUUGGACCAGCAGGCAAGAAAAGCGCGGUCUCGUCGCUGAAAGCGCCCUCUGCGUUAAGCAGUGCAGCCCCUGGUGAUGGCCGCAGAGGUGGACAGCAGCGACUUUGUGACUGUAUAGCAGAAGACAUGGCAACCUGGGAAUCUUCUGGACAGUGGAUGUUCUCGUGUUACUCUCCUGUGACGGGCAAGCCUAAUGUUUCAGGCUUUCCAGAGUUCUCCCAGGAGGAGGUGCGCCUGGAGUAUUAUAACUGCAGUGCAAACGAGAACACUGGAUACUACGUAAGUAUUUAAAACAACUGACCUUUGGUGGCUAGGAGUGGUUCAGGGUAGGAGUGGUUACUGUUCUUCAGGUGGCCACUCUUGACUCAGUGACAACCAAACUCGAGGGGGACGUAAGAAAGCCCUCCUACGUUCUCUUUUCUGUGCACCGAGUAGGAAACAACAGGAGCUGCUGGCCUGAAUGCUUUGCCAUAAGUGAGCAACCUGAUCUGUUUGUAGGUGUCCCUGUUCAUUGCAGGGGAGUUGGGUCAGAUGGCCUUAAAGGUCCCUUCUGACUCAAACAGGUCUAUGAUUCUCCCUUCUUCUUUCUGAUAACUGCGUGACACAGGCCUCACCAAUUAUGCAGGUAC